CAUACAGAUACAUACUAUGCCACAAAUCAUUUCCACCAUGCAGGGUAUAGGUUUUGAUUUUCUAAUGUGAAAGCUAGCGUGGUUUGCCUAUAGGUACAGAUGAACAAAUUAAAAUUGCAUCUUUUUCUUUUUCAUUGGUUUUAAACUUUUGUAAGCAACUUUAGCGUGUUUUUUUUUUUUUUUUCUUGUGCAUUCUUCUAGCCAGUGUUUGGUCUGCUGAUGCUUUCUAUGCCAUUCUAAGUAAAAUUUAUUUUGCCGCCUCCACGAUAACCUAGUGGUUUGCUGGCAGUUUGUAACUGCAGAGCACCUUUAGUUGUGGCUUGAAUUUUUAGUUAAGCUUUCAUGGUGUUUAGUUCUCUAGUUUUGAGGGGGAAAGAACUAUACUAUAAGUGAGAGGUGUUUUGUUUUCCAUUUUUGUUUCUUUCACGCUAGGCUUUUACUGGCAGAAUGUCCAUUGCAGGCAGUGGACACGACACCACCAGCAUUGAGCUAAAAUCUCUAUUACACCUUUCCUGGAGGGGCCGCUCAUCAUUACCUGAGUAAUGUGUACAGAGAGGUGAUAGCCAUUAUUUAUGUGGAUGAGGAAACAAGAGUAAACAGGACGGUAGUUUUAGAAAUGUAUUCAGUCCAUUGAAGGAAAUUCUUUUGUAAUCACUCUGAAGAAUGUGGAUUGUGAAGAACCCUGGCCAUGAGAAGAGGUGAUGAUACUGACAGACAAGGAAAGCUGAAAGCCAAACAGGAAAUAGAAAUAGCAGCAAAAGGCCUGGAGAGCAUCCAUGAAGACGGAGUGGUAGGCAGCACCUUCCAUCGGAGAAGCUCGACCAUCACAGUUUAAACCUGAGAAUCCUCCCACACUUGGGGUGGUGGUGAGCCCCCAGUUGGGAAGAGAGGCACAAGAUUUGCUCCCCUUCGCCACUGGAGCCAGCACUAGCACGUCUGCUUAGAGGAGUUAGGCCACUUCUCCCAAAGCACUUCCCUGGGCACUAACAGCAGAGCCAGGGCUCAAACCGAGAUCUCACCCCAGAGCUGUCCUCCUCACCAGUGCACCAGAGCACAUUGUGAUAUAUCACCCAGAGUGUAAAAAGUGUCCACCUGGAAUGGGGGUUUGGGACAAAGGAGAGGAAAGGAUGGGUGAGAGAGAUUUUUGCAGAAAGCACUCCAAAAGACAAAUGUUAUUCAUUUUUCUCAGCCCAGCAGUCUGAAAAAGCAUAGUUCAAAGAUCAAUGACCAAUUAGUAUCCAGCUGCUGAAAGAAAACAGUGCUUUGACCUUAGCAGAAAGUUACAUAAACUCUCCUCAGGGCAAGAGACUUCUUAGGGAGAAUUAAGAGGUAGCAUAAACACAGCUCAUUUGGGAAGAACCGGAAGAACUUUCCUGUUUAAUCCCUAGAAUUCCACUGAAAGCUGCGAUGGGUGGGGCAGCCCAGAGGGGGGACUCAGCAAUAGCUCUGGAGGUUCUGGGAUUAGGCGAUCAGGUUUCUAGAGGUAUCUCAAGCCAAAGACAGUG
rnacentral:lncRNA from 1 species